rnacentral:rRNA from 1 species
GACGUAGGGGGCCAGCGUUGCUCGGAAUUACUGGGCGUAAAGGGUUCGUAGGCGGUGUGGCAAGUCGGGAGUGAAAUCUCUGGGCUUAACUCAGAGGCUGCUUCCGAAACUGCCGUGCUAGAGUGCGGGAGAGGCGAGUGGAAUUGCAGGUGUAGCGGUGAAAUGCGUAGAUAUCAGGAGGAACACCGGUGGCGAAGGCGGGUCUCUGGGCCGAUACUGACGCUGAGGAGCGAAAGCGUGGGGAGCGAACAGG